GGGUGCGAUCAUACCAGCAUUAAUGCACCGGAUCCCAUCAGAACUCCGCAGUUAAGCGCGCUUGGAGUAGAGCAGUACUGGGAUGGGUGACCUCCUGGGAAUUCCUGGCGUUGCCCCCU
rnacentral:rRNA from 1 species